rnacentral:lncRNA from 1 species
UGAAGUAGCUUCUUCUAUGCACAUCAACUGAAAUUAAGAAGAUGUUUGAGAACAUCAAAAAUGACAGUCAAAAUACAGCAAUGGAAAAUAAGACAGCAAUUCUAAGACUGCUUGUUGUCCAAGAGUGACAUUAACCCCAUCAUAAAUUACCUUCUUGAAAAACAAAAAAGACAGACUGAGAGGAAGGGUUUCAAUGAUGGCACAGACUCAAUUAUAGGUCUACCAGCUACCCCAACCAAAGAAGUUUCUGUAAAGAAAGGAGUACUUCCAACCCAGUUCUAUUUCGUUAUACUGUGCAUAUGGCAGAAGAGGUAUAAGGAAAUAAUAUAACUGACAGCAACCACAACAACAAAUUUGAAUUUUUCCAUUGAUUGGUGGU